CAGGUUGACCGGGGAAUCGCGGCGCUAAGGCGUCGAGGAAAGUCCGCACUCCGAAGAGCACGGUGCUGGCUAACAGCCAGGCGGGGGAACCCGACGGAAAGUGCAACAGAGAGCAGAUUGCGUCGCAUUGCGGCGUGAGGGUGAAAGGGUGCGGUAAGAGCGCACCGGCGUCGGCAGGAAUGUCGGCGGCCAUGUAAACCCCACCGGGAGCAAGGCCAAGCAGAUGCAUUGGGGCGGCUCGUCCCGCAAAAAGCAUCGGGUAGGCUGCACGAGGUGUGUGGCAACGCACAUCCCAGAUAGAUGAUUCCUUAGAACAGAAUGCGGCUUAUGGGUCGACCUGGACU
rnacentral:RNase_P_RNA from 1 species